rnacentral:lncRNA from 1 species
GAAGAGAAGAACAGAGGACAUCUUUUCAGUGAACAGGAUACCUGGGUUUCUUUCCGUUGUGACGCUUUAUUUAGGAGACAUUAAAUAUGAAAACAGGACAUGGCUUGUUAACCACUCACUAUGCCUUUUGCUCAAGGCAGAGAUAUGGUGGUAAGCCACAGGUUAGAUGGGGUUUCUCAGGCAAAGCUCCUCUCUCAAUUUCCCGGUUACUUUGAGCUGGUGAAGGAAGAUCACGGUUUCCACAUCUCUUUUAAAGUAAUUGCAUCACAUUCAAGACAGCAUUAUUUCUCCUCAAGUCCUCUUAUCAGUUGCUCCUAAAGGAUACCAGAGCAGUUAUUUCAGCAUCUCUCCUCACUGGCCAAACAUCCAAGCAUUUGCCUCAUCUGCGAAAUCUUCACUAGGACACAUCCUAGAAGGCCAUGCGAGGAGAGCGGCUUUUGGUUCUAUUUUCUACUGUCUGCUUCUUAGCUGAAGUCAUGAUGGACCAGUCACUUUUGGAAAUUCAUGGAGCCCUGAAUACUUCAGUGCUUCUCCCUGGACAGGAUAUUGCUCUAUCUUCUGUCUUCAAUGUGGAAUGGAGAAUCAAGCAGUCCCAAGAGGUGUUGAUCCUGUCCUUCUCUCCCUCAUCCAAGAACUUCUACACUAAUGAAGCUUACUGGCAGCGAAUCUUCUUCUCUCCCACCAACUUCUCCCUCCAGUUUCACAGUUUGCAGUGCACAGAUGAAGGAUUCUAUACCUUGGCCAUCCAGCUCCAAGAGAAGUUCCAAGUGAACAACUACAGGACUUGGCUGACAGUGAGCAGUUCUUCUUCUUGCCCAACUUCCAGCUAUGUUGGCUACUUUGGAUACCCUGGCUACCUUGGCUACAUUCUGCUCAUAGUCUGUCUCUUCAGGAUGGCAAAAAAAAUCAACACCAGGUUUUUGGCAACCCAGACAGAGUCUACUUAUGAAAACAUGCGUUCAACUCAGCCACCCCUUUAA